GCCGAGAUAGCUCAGCCUGGUAGAGCAGGGGACUGAAAAUCCCUGUGUCCUGAGUUCAAUUCUCAGUCUCGGCA
rnacentral:tRNA from 1 species